rnacentral:lncRNA from 7 species
ACAUCUGGGCUUUACCACUGUCAUGGCACACCUGUUGGAGGCCCAGGGACUGCUGGGGGUCUCAGAACGUAGCUGAGAAAAGGCAGCCUACCAUCAGCUCACACAGAACUCUUGGAAAUAGCCUCCAUAUCUCCUAGGAAAUUAUUAGGUUGUCUACUUAUUGAAAGCUUGAAAUUACUCUACAGAUGAUUGAUAGACGGGGAAUGUUAAGAAGGAAGAAGAAUGGCAUAAGGCCCUCCUCCACUCCUAGGUGAUGGGCAAGCAGUCAUGUGCUGGAGCAUACAGGAAUCACUACUGCCAUACAGGUGGAUGAACACCUGAGAUUUUCUAUGCCGACUUCAGAGAUCAUCCUAAGCCAUACCAGGAAAUGAAGCUGUUUCCCCUCCCAGCUGUACGCGCCUCACGGCAACAAGUUGCAAAUUCUAACAUCAAAAUAAACCAUAAAUCUCCAUAGGUUAAAAAACAUCAUUAAACUUUUGCCAUAGAGUUAACCCACCCAUUACUCUGGGUUUUGUUGACUUCAUGUUAGAUAAGGGUGGAAUAAAAGCGACUUUAGAGUAUGUGGAAAUCUCUGUUUUGUUAUUAAAAGGGGCAAGAGGAAAGAAGGCCCCAGUGCUGCAGGAAAGCCCAGCUACAUGGGAGUCACUGAUAGAAAUGUGCUGGGAGAAGAGCAUCUUUAAAACAGCAUCCCUAAUUCUGGCCUGAAGCACCUCAUUUUUGGCUGAAUCCAGCCACCAGGAAACUGAUCCUAAAGCUGUGCUUUCUCCUUCUAGCUCAUUUGAAAAAAAUACUUCUUGCUUCAGUGAGGAAGCAGUCUGAGCAGUCUUCCCAGCACAGAUAUUUUUUUAAAGAAUCUUCAUAUUGUGUGAGGGCUUCUGUUGGUGGUUGAUGCUGAAACGAAAGAUGUGGCAAAUAAAAAUACUGUAAUGGUUGGAGUCAUAUCCGGAAGCAGCUCUGAAUGCCCUUUUACAUAGGUGGUCACAAAUUGUCAUGUCACACCAAUGAAGAUAUGUGGAAGGAAUUGCCUAGAUCAGACUUUGUGUUGUGUUCCUUUCCACAUUUCCAUAUAUUUUUUAACAGGCAGGGAAGAUCUUCAUGCCUUCUAUAUUUUGUCAUAAAGACAGCAAACUCCAUUCCGCCUGUUUUCAGGCUCGGUUGCUUGAGAUGACAUGAAUGGUCGGCCAUGGGAUGUAAUUCAAUUUAUUCUGUGCUUUUUAUAUUUUCUUCAGAAGCAGCUGUUGCCAUCGAAAGAAAUGCAAUUUCAUUGGCUCUGUACAGAUUACUUUGGAGGUAG